CUUACGAUGAUUUUCGCUCUGUUACACUGCGGUUACAUAUUGUGAAAAAGAGGUUACUAUUUAUAUACUGUGAAAAAGUAUUUUUUACUAAUGAUAGUGAUUGACUUACGCAUUCAUAAGGAUAAUUAUUAAAUUCAAAACGAUUUUCAUGAAUUAUUGAACAAAUUAUUAAACAAACGUACCCUUUUCAUACAUCAUUGAAUUUAAGUAGAUUUCAUCUACGAUAUCACCUAGGCAAAGAAGAUGGUGAGCGAAAUUAUGAUUGAAAGUUCACUCAAUACAUCAACAAUAGAAACUUCUGUGUCUUCAGGUUUCUCAAAAACGUGAUUUGUGAAGUCUGAUGAAGUGUAUUGGAAUAAGGCAGUAUAUGAGAUAAAGAUAUUAAUUUUGCAUUAGAGGGAGAAUAAACUGAAGAUGUUACUAAAAGAAAUGCGUUAGUUUGUAGUGUUCAAUUUCCUCUAGAAAUUGUAAAAGUCAUAAACAAUGUUUUAUGACUGAUAACUACAAGGAUAAUGAAAAGAAUGAAAACACGAUUUCGAUUGAAGAAGUAGCUAUCUAUGACGGUGACUUUCAAAAAUUGUCUUGCAAAACAAUGUCAUAGAUCAAAUAUCAGAAUAUUAUAGAAUACCAGAAUAAGAUACAAUGAACAUAACCUAGAUGUUAUAAAAAGACUGUAUGUUCAACUUUCUUCUAUAGAGUAUCAACGAAUGACUAGCUACUUGUAAAUUUUUUUUAAAGUGAUUGAUCUAAGGAUCCAAAUGAAGGUCUUGAGUAAGGAUCCACAGCUAAAAGAAACGUAGUUGGAGUAGAAAAAUAAAGACCUGCCAGAGAAAAAUAAAAAAGUAAUCUUAGAAUCAUAUAGAAUUACACUGAAUCGUCCAAAAUAAACCUUGAGAUACUACGACUGGUGUCAGAUGUUACUAAAAAAAGAGACCAACACUUCUUGGACACUUAGAAAUGUUUCGGUACCAUCAUAUAGGCAUUGGGGCGGCAGUUUCUAUUUUAAUAGAUCCUCCGAAAGAUGGUCUAUAUGAGGAUAUAUUUACGGAUUAUAUCAAUCACGCUGGGCAGAUAUUAAUGGUUCUCUUUCUUCAACAGACUAAAGCACGGAAAUCAUUUAUUAUAUCACAACUAAACGAAAACAUUAAACUAGUGAUAGACUCGAUGGUCUCCAAUGAAUAGUUGUAUGAGAACAAGCUCAAGAAAACGGUUAUAGAUACAAAAAAGAUAGAGAAGGCUUGUGCUGAAAUUAAGAAGCCUCCAUCGAAAACAGCAGCAAAGUUUCGAAGUCAGUGAAACUCGAAAUACCCACCGGCGAAUUACCAUCCGAUAGAUCAACAACAGAAACGCCCGUUAAAAUUCUAAUCAAAGACGUACAGAAUCCCACGAAAUCUGCUCAGAACAACAAUCUGGAAGAGAAGUCAUUCAUCAUCGAGGAAUUAGAAAAAUAAUUAAACAGCAAGUUGUUUAUCCUUCUAUGUGGAGAUAUGGAAAGAAAUUACAGCUGAUAAAUAUAUGUUUAGCUAUUUAAGUGGUUAUAAAAUACCAUUUACAGAGAUACCGAUCCAAGAGACUGUACUGAAGGAAAAACUUUCUUCUCUAGAAGGCAAAGCCAAAAUUAUUAUAGAAAUUAAGAAAAUAAUAAGAAAAGGAGCUGUCAAGGAAUGCAACGACUAUUCAUCCUUGUCAGGGUUGUUACUGUGAAGGUAAAGAAGCUUUUGGUUUUUGGGACACAAUUGAAAGAAAGAAUAAUAUGAAUUAUCUUAAAGUGUUUACCGCAUUUUUUGUGAUAAAAUGCAUCGCGUCAGGAUGUGAAAU